rnacentral:rRNA from 1 species
CAGUCGCCGCGGGAACACGUAGGUGGCAAGCGUUGUCCGGAUUUAUUGGGUUUAAAGGGUGCGUAGGCGGCUAUUUAAGUCAGCGGUGAAAGACUCCGGCUCAACCGGAGCAGUGCCAUUGAUACUGGAUAGCUUGAGUGUUGGAGGGGUACAUGGAAUUGAUGGUGUAGCGGUGUAAUGCAUAGAUACCAUCAGGAACACCGAUAGCGAAGGCAUUGUACUGGCCAACAACUGACGCUGAGGCACGAAAGCAUGGGGAGCGAACAGGAUUAGAUACCCGCGUAGUCCCUGUCUCUUAUAC